UACGUAGGGUGCGAGCGUUAAUCGGAAUUACUGGGCGUAAAGCGUGCGCAGGCGGUUCGUUAAGUCAGCUGUGAAAGCCCCGAGCUUAACUUGGGAAUUGCGGUUGAAACUGGCGGACUAGAAUCUGGCAGAGGGGGGUGGAAUUCCACGUGUAGCAGUGAAAUGCGUAGAGAUGUGGGGGAACACCGAUGGCGAAGGCAGCCCCCUGGGCUGAGAUUGACGCUCAGGCACGAAAGCGUGGGGAGCAAACAGG
rnacentral:rRNA from 1 species